GACAAGAUGGCUGAAAAAGCAAAGGUUUGUAAAACCUUUUAUGUAGGCACCCAGCCCUACUCUUCGUCA
rnacentral:tRNA from 1 species